CCCAUUGUAACCAUUUAAGUUUGGGUCAAAAUGAGCCACACCUGCACCCUCUUCCACACCCCCAUCACUCUUUCUUCCAUUUUCACACCCAAAUUUCGCCACAAGACUACUCAUUUCCACUACAAGAAUCCCAAAAACCCAACAAAAUCAUCAAAAAUAACCUGCACUGGUACUGACAACUCCCAAAACCAAAACCAACAGCUCAAUCUCUCUGUUCUUCGCUUCACUUUAGGGAUUCCUGGACUGGAUGAAUCAUAUUUACCCAGAUGGAUUGGAUAUGCUUUUGGAUCUCUUCUGGUUUUGAAUCACUUAGCGAGUUCAAAUUCAACCCCAGCGCAGCUUAGAACAGAGGUUCUUGGUCUUUCUUUGGCAGCAUUCUCUGUCAUACUUCCUUACAUUGGGCAGUUUCUUAAGGGGGCUAGUCCAGUGGUUAAAGCAAGCAUUCCCGAAGGCGCGGAGCAAAUAUUCGCGAUGUCACCCGACAUAUCCGAUACAAGUAAAGAGGAUUUAGCGUGGGGAUCGUAUACUUUACUGCGUAACACAAACAGCAUUUCUGUGCUUAUAUCUGUACAUGAUGUACUGUGCGUACGUGGCUACUGGAACACACCCAAAGGCAUGGAUUUAUCGAAAGACCGAGCGGUUGAAUGGUUUAAAGAACAGGUGCAACGGGUCGGCCUCGUUAAAUUGACGGAUACCCUGUAUUUUCCUCAGAGAUCAGAUUCUGAGCUCUGGGAGAUGCUUCCCGAGGGUACACGUUCAGUUUUGGUUUUGCCUGUGACUAAAAACCGAGACGAAGAUGGAAACUCUAAGGACAAGAGUGCGGGGUUUGUCUUGUUGGCGUCUAGCAUUAAUUACGCAUAUAGUAACAAAGACAGAGCCUGGAUAGCAGCUAUUGCUAAAAAGUUUUGAGAUUAGAAUCAGAAGAAGGCCUUUCGUAAAGAUAUCAGCAAAAGGAUAGCGAGACGAGACAUGUAAGACACAACGAACAAAAUGAACAUCAUUCUGCAUAUGAAUAUGCUUAGUGUGUUGAUGUUGGGCCUAAAGGACAUGUAAUUGGGGCUUGGUGGAAGACCAUAGAAUCAUUGGUUAGUGAAGUAUACAGGCUGUUUUAGCAGGGUGUGGGAACAUGGCACAUGCCUGUUGCUUUUGUUCUAAAAUCUUUUGCAGGGCUCAUGUUUUUUGGUUUUAUGUCUUUGUGAUGUUAGGUUUGUCUUUGUUGUAAAUAAUAAUAAUAAUAAUACAUUUAUUAUUUAAAGUUGAUUAAAUAAAGCUAAGAGAUGUUAAUGUGA